CCUACGGGUGGCAGCAGUGGGGAAUAUUGCACAAUGGGGGAAACCCUGAUGCAGCAACGCCGCGUGAGUGAAGAAGUCACUCGUGGUGUAAAGCUCUAUCAGUAGGGGAGAAAAUGACGGUACCUGACUAAGAAGCCCCGGCUAACUUCGUGCCAGCAGCCGCGGCUACACGGCGGGGGCAAGCGUUAUCCGGAUUGACUGGGUGUAAAGGGAGCGUAGACGGAGGCGGAAGUCAGUAGUGAAAGGCUUGUGCUCAACCGUGGAACUGCUGUGGAAACUGUGUAGCUUGAGUGCAGGAGAGGUAGGUGGAAUUCCUGGUGUAGCGGUGAAAUGCUUAGAUAUUACGAAGAACACCAGUGGCGAAGGCAGCUUACUGGACUGUAACUGACGUUGAGGCUCGAAAGUGUGGGUAGCAAACAGGAUUAGAUACCCGUGUAGUC
rnacentral:rRNA from 1 species